rnacentral:rRNA from 1 species
GAUGAACGCUGGCGGCGUGCUUAACACAUGCAAGUCGAACGGAAAGGCCCUGCUUUUGCGGGGUGCUCGAGUGGCGAACGGGUGAGUAACACGUGAGUAACCUGCCCUUGACUUUGGGAUAACUUCAGGAAACUGGGGCUAAUACCGGAUAGGAGCUCCUGCUGCAUGGUGGGGGUUGGAAAGAUUCGGCGGUUGGGGAUGGACUCGCGGCUUAUCAGCUUGUUGGUGGGGUAGUGGCUUACCAAGGCUUUGACGGGUAGCCGGCCUGAGCGGGUGACCGGCCACAUUGGGACUGAGAUACGGCACAGACUCCUACGGGAGGCAGCAGUGGGGAAUAUUGCAGAAUGGGCGGAAGCCUGAUGCAGCAACGCCGCGUGCGGGAUGACGGCCUUCGGGUUGUAAACCGCUUUCGCCUGUGACGAAGCGUGAGUGACGGUAAUGGGUAAAGAAGCACCGGCUAACUACGUG